rnacentral:rRNA from 1 species
UGAGGAAUAUUGGUCAAUGGACGCAAGUCUGAACCAGCCAAGUAGCGUGCAGGAUGACGGCCCUAUGGGUUGUAAACUGCUUUUAUAUGGGGAUAAAGUGGGGAACGUGUUCCCUUUUGCAGGUACCAUCUGAAUAAGGACCGGCUAAUUCCGGGCCAGCAGCGGCGGUAAUACGGAAGGUUCGGGCGUUAUCCGGAUUUAUUGGGUUUCAAGGGAGCGUAGGCCGUUUGGUAAGCGUGUUGUGAAAUGUAGGAGCUCAACUUCUAGAUUGCAGCGCGAACUGUCCUACUUGUGUGCUCACAACGUAGGCGGAAUUCAUGGUGUAGCGGUGAAAUGCUUAGAUAUCAUGAAGAACUCCGAUUGCGAAGGCAGCUUACGGGAGCGCAACUGACGCUGAAGCUCGAAGGUGCGGGUAUCGAACAGG